rnacentral:tRNA from 1 species
GAGGGUAUAGCUCAGUGAUAGAGUGCAUGCCUGGUAUACAUGAAGUUUUGGGUUCAAGCCCCAGUACUUUCA